CCUUUGUACACACCGCCCGUCGCUACUACCGAUUGAAUGGCUCAGUGAGGCUUUCGGACUGGCAUAGGGAGGUCGGCAACGACCACCCAUUGCUGGAAAGUUGUUCAAACUUGGUCAUUUAGAGG
rnacentral:rRNA from 1 species